AACGAACGCUGGCGGCAGGCCUAACACAUGCAAGUCGAGCGCGCCCUUCGUGGUAACCGGCUGACGGGUGAGUCACGCGUGGGAACGUGCCCUUUUCUACCGAAUAGUACCUUGAAACUGAGAGUAAUAUCGUAUACGCUCUUCUGGUGACAGAUUUAACGUACAAGGAUCGGCCCGCGUUGGAUUAGGUUGUGGGUGUGGUAAUGGCCUAUCAAGCCGACGAUCCAUAGCUGGGUUGAGAGGAUGAGCAGCCACACUGGGACUGAGAAGCGGCCCAGACUACUACGGGAGGCAGGAGUGGGGGAUCUUAGACAAUGGCGGCAAUGCUGAUGGAGCCAUGCCGCGUGAGUGAUGAAGGUCGUAGGGAAGUAAAGCUCGUUCAGCUGGGAAGAUAAUGACGGUACCAGCAGAAGAAGCCCCGGCUAACUCCGUG
rnacentral:rRNA from 1 species